rnacentral:tRNA from 1 species
GAGGCCGUCAGUAAUAGAUGUCAACGGUCUUUUAAGCCGUUGGUCACAGGUUCGAUUCCUGUCGGGCACA